AAUUUUCGCUGGCAUGGGAGCUGUCAAAGCUUUGGGUCAGAAGUACCAUGCCUCUGGUAUGACCAAAUCAGCUGCAUCAGCAACAGGAAGAACAGCUGCAGCAGCAGCAGCAAACACUGUGGUAAACAGUAGCUACUUCUCCAACUUAGAUACAGCGUUUGAUACUGUAUAUCAUAUGUAGUGUGUAACUAGUUGAUAGUUUUUCUACUUUUGUAUAGCACUUGCUGGUUUUUUCACUUCCUUUGCCAGUAUAGCAUUUCUGUUCUGGGUUGUGUUUUGAGCUCAAUGUCACCUCUAAAGAUGUUUUUAGGCUAUGAAUUUAAAUAUCAGGCCGGGCCUUGCAAUUGAAAAA
rnacentral:misc_RNA from 1 species